CCUACGGGUGGCAGCAGUGGGGAAUAUUGCACAAUGGGGGAAACCCUGAUGCAGCGACGCCGCGUGGGUGAAGAAGUAUUUCGGUAUGUAAAGCCCUAUCAGCAGGGAAGAAAAAUGACGGUACCUGACUAAGAAGCACCGGCUAAAUACGUGCCAGCAGCCGCGGUAAUACGUAUGGUGCAAGCGUUAUACGGAUUUACUGGGUGUAAAGGGAGCGCAGGCGGCACGCUAAGCCUGAUGUGAAAACCCGCGGCCCAACCGCGGGAGUGCAUUGGGAACUGGCGAGCUGGAGUGCCGGAGGGGCAGGCGGAAUUCCUAGUGUAGCGGUGAAAUGCGUAGAUAUUAGGAGGAACACCAGUGGCGAAGGCGGCCUGCUGGACGGAGACUGACGCUGAGGCUCGAAAGCGUGGGGAGCAAACAGGAUUAGAUACCCUGGUAGUC
rnacentral:rRNA from 1 species